rnacentral:misc_RNA from 1 species
GGAACUCUCGGAGGAGAGGACCCCCGUUCAGAUGGCACAUCAACUAACCAUAGAAGACCGAAUUCAAAGACUUCUCUGUAGGAAGAGCUAUGCUUUUAUUUGUCUAUGAUUCUCCUCAUGUUUAUUCUGGAGUAGCUGCACAGUUCCCAGUGUUGACUGAGGAGUUGGCAUCAUUGCCAGUGAUAAAGAUGCUGGAUGAUGAUGAGAGACUUGUCUGUGUUUACGUUGGGCAUACGCUUCACAAGUGAACCUCAUGGAUGUCCCUCCACAGCCUCUGAAACUGAAGCUCCUAUCACAGGUGGCAUUCUGAUGUACUGGGUCCCUGCAGAAAAGAAAAAGCCACCAUGGCUUGUGCUUCCCCCCUGAUGCUGAGAUCUGUGGCUGAAAGGAGAU